CAGUCGCCGCGGGAACACGUAGGUGGCAAGCGUUGUCCGGAUUUAUUGGGCGUAAAGCGAGCGCAGGCGGUUCCUUAAGUCUGAUGUGAAAGCCCCCGGCUCAACCGGGGAGGGUCAUUGGAAACUGGGAAACUUGAGUGCAGAAGAGGAGAGUGGAAUUCCACGUGUAGCGGUGAAAUGCGUAGAGAUGUGGAGGAACACCGGUGGCGAAAGCGGCUCUCUGGCUUGUAACUGACGCUGAGGCUCGAAAGCGUGGGGAGCAAACAGGAUUAGAUACCCCAGUAGUCCCUGUCUCUUAUAC
rnacentral:rRNA from 1 species